rnacentral:sRNA from 1 species
UAGCUCAGUUGGUAGAGCAGUUGACUUUUAAUCAAUUGGUCGCAGGUUCGAAUCCUGCACGACCCACCAAUAUAAAAAAUCGAAAAAAAGACACAAAUUUCAGGAUAAUGUUGCUUUAGCAACGGCCCGAAGGGCGAGGCGAAGCCGAGUCAUCCUGCACGACCCACCA